rnacentral:lncRNA from 1 species
AGAGGAUUGUGGAUGAUAAGGAAACUCGAGAGAUAAUUUCUCUCAUAAUGUCUCCGUGAUGCUCCGUGAUGGGAAUAAGAGCCGGACAUCGUUACAUUAAGACACAACAGAAUUACGUAAUUUGGUAUAAAUACGAGACGUGAAGAUUGAUUUGAUUAUAAAAAUAGCCUUAUCCCGUGGUUAAUCGACACAGAUUCACUUUACACUCCAUCCAACUUCCCUCUUGCAAGCCGGGUAAAUGAUGCUGCGCCUGGAUUAGAGAUAAUGGAGAGAAGAAAGUAACUGUCCACAUCAAGGCGGAACAAACUUGCACGUAGUUCGCAAUAAUGUGCCGUAUCAGACGCGGUCUGACGCAACAUGUAAUCUCGUAAAAUUCAUUUCAGGGAGUCAAAGGAGGCUUAACGAAAUAGAUGACUGCGAUUGCCUGAAGCGCACGACAGCCCGGAACAGAUUUUCCACGUAAUAAUACCUAUUAAGACUAGCUGUUACGUAUUGCCGCCAUUUGGCGGAGUUCAUUCGCUCCCGUGCGACUCGGACGUGCGCCGAAUAGCCGGCGAUAAGGAUUGCGGAAAAUAAUUAUGAUUCCGGCUCGUUAGCACAACUAUUUCUACAAUGGAUCUCUUUCUUACGACGAGAACCCGCAAUCGUCUUGCGAGGAGGGACUUGCAAGAGCUAAUGCGUUUUCCCUUGGAAUUGCGUGCAGGAAUUCGCUUAUGCAAAUGUUGAAUUAGCGAGUUAGAUGUACGUUUUAAAUUUUGACGUGUACAGGUGGCCAAUCGGCGACACGUGCCUCUGAUGACAAGAGAAUUCCCUUUUAAUGGCACUUAAUCACCUAAUUAGAAAAGAGAGAACGGAUAGUUUUAGAUUUUAUGUGCGGUUCUGGAUAAUGUAAUAACCUUAUAAAAGACAUUAGAUAAAGCACGCGAAUACGACAUUUGAAAUGUGGCUGGCGCACAUUAGAGAAAGGUUGGCCACUACUGACCUAAGGGAUUUCACGCUCUCCAAACUCGUUCGACACGAACGACGCGAUUAAUCUUUCCUCUGCGAAAUGUCGCCGCCUCCUAAUCCGAAUCACCCGAAUUCUAUCCUCUUUUAGUCUCGUCAAGCACGAAGGUGACAUGGCUCUAUCGAUAUAUUUCAUUUUACGGUAAUAUGACAAUGUGUCAUGGAAAAUCAUAUCCUUAAGUCUGAAUAAACUCAAUUGAUAAAAUAA